AUGAGAGGAGAAUUCAAUGGUUUGCAAAAGUUGAUUCGAGAUGAGAGUCCAUAUGCUUUCUAUGUACACUGCUUUGCCCAUCAAUUACAGUUGGUAGUUGUCACAGUUGCUCAAUGUUGUCCAGUUAUUGCUGAUUUCUUCAUUUAUCUCCCCUUGAUAGUGACUCAGGUGGGUCCAUCUUGCAAGAGAAAAGAUGCAUUACUUGCAAAGCAUCACGAUGAUUUGAUGAAAUUGAUGGAGCAUGGUAAGAUCAUAGCUGGAACUGGGUUACAUCAAGAAACUAACCUUUCUAGACCAGGAGCUACUCGUUGGGGCUCACAUCUUAGAACCUUGUGUAUUUACACAAUGUGGAAUGCAGUGGUCGAUGUGCUAGCAAUCGUGGUUGACGAUGCACGAGAACACACUUGUCAAGCCAAGAUCUUUUGUGAGGAACAUGGCAUUGAUGUGCCAAAUAUGGAUGAUCUUGUUGGAGCUAUGGGUCAAUCUGUUCGCACUAAAAAUAAGGUGACUCGACAUCAUUAUUUCAAAGUUAGCAUAUUCUAUGUUGUUAUUGAUGCAACUAUGACCGAGAUGAACCAUCGGUUCAAUGAAAUUAACACCGAGCUAGUGGAUUGCAUGUCCCGUCUUAAUCCAGCCAACAAAUUUGCAAAGUUUAAUGUUGACAAACUUAUCCGGCUUGCUGAAAUUUAUGCGGAUGAUUUUACAGAAACUGACUGGUUGUUGCUUAGAAUUGACCUUCCAAGAUUCCUUAGAAAUAUCAGGAGAAGUGAGGAAUUUAAUGGUUGUUCAGAUGUUUCCACCCUUGCUCAGUUGAUGGUUCAAUCAACAAAACAUGCAACUAUCCCAACAGUAUAUCGCCUCAUCGAGUUGACAUAG
rnacentral:rRNA from 1 species